CAGAGAAUAGUUUAUUAAAAUAUUAAUUUUGGAGAUUAAUGAUAAAGAGUAGCUCUUUUUCCCUGA
rnacentral:tRNA from 1 species